ACGCUCGACACCUACUGGAGGCAGCAGUUAGGAAUAUUGGGCAAUGGAGGAAACUCUGACCCAGCAACGCCGCGUGAAGGAAGAAGGUUUUCGGAUUGUAAACUUCUGAUCUAGGGGAAGAAGGAAGUGACGGUACCCUAGGAGAAAGCCACGGCUAACUACGUGCCAGCAGCCGCGGUAAUCUGAGCGGGCUGGCAAGGC
rnacentral:rRNA from 1 species